AGCCAGGCCCUCCCUGAGGUAGUCAGGGUACAGAACAGGAAGGUGUCACUGGACCCUAGGGAAGAGCGGCCCCUGGUGUGGUGAGGGGCGCAGCCCCAUGGGCCUGUGCAGUAGCUCAGACUGCUGGCCACUCACUCCAGGCCUCACUGGGACCUGAGAACCUUCUCCAGCUGCUGUGCCAAAACCAGGUGGAAGCUGGCUGUUAGACUGAAAUCCAUCGACUUCCUCCCUCCUUACAAUGGAAGAUCCAGGAGGACAGGGACAUCUACCUCCACCGCUCUCCUCCUCGUUCCUGGACUAAGUGCAGAAAUGUAGACUAUCCAAAUAGAAUUGUGCUGCAGAGCACAGGUGUAGCCAAGUUAUAUACAGACCUGUGCCUGAGAGGAAGAGAAUAUAAACCACAUGUCCAGGAACGUCCCGGGAAGGGCACUGGAUGGUGAAGAUUCUGCUGCUGCUUCUGGGAACAAAUUAAAGUACUCUUCCGUAUGGGCUCCAUCUGUUCCUUUUCCUGUAUUCUUCAGAAACUUGCAGCCACACUUGAAUUUGUUCAGAACUCUUCCACAAGUAUUGCAGAUCUGACUGGUUUUCACCUUUCUGUGUUAAAAGAGGUUUUUCGGAUGUGUAAAAUCCUAAUUGUCAACUGAACAUUUUUUAGUAACAUCUGAAUUGAAAUGAUUCUCGGCACAGUCAGUCUUCUAACACUGACUAAUCUUUCCCCAUUUGUGUGCGGAGUUCACUGCCAGCCCCUUACCAUCUGAUAAUCAUUCCCAUAGCAACCAGCAAUCUGCUUAGUUUCAUUAAAUACCAAAAUUAUUGCCUGAAAAAUGUCUAAUGUAUG